CAUCCUGGGGCUGAAGCAGGUCCCAAGGGUAUGGCUGUUCGCCAUUUAAAGAGGUACGCGAGCUGGGUUUAGAACGUCGUGAGACAGUUCGGUCCCUAUCUACCGUGGGCGCUGGAAAUUUGAGAGGAUCUGCUCCUAGUACGAGAGGACCAGAGUGGACGAACCUCUGGUGUACCGGUUGUGACGCCAGUCGCAUCGCCGGGUAGCUAUGUUCGGAAGGGAUAACCGCUGAAAGCAUCUAAGCGGGAAGCCUACCUCAAGAUAAGAUUUCCCUGUGACUAUAUGUCACCUAAAGAGCCGUUCAAGACUAGGACGUUGAUAGGUUGGAUGUGGAAGCAUAGUGAUAUGUGAAGCUGACCAAUACUAAUUGCUCGUGAGGCUUGACUAUACAACACCCAAACAGUUG
rnacentral:rRNA from 1 species